AGUGAACGCUGGCGGUAGGCCUAACACAUGCAAGUCGAACGGCAGCACAGUAAGAGCUUGCUCUUACGGGUGGCGAGUGGCGGACGGGUGAGGAAUACAUCGGAAUCUACUUUUUCGUGGGGGAUAACGUAGGGAAACUUACGCUAAUACCGCAUACGACCUACGGGUGAAAGCAGGGGAUCUUCGGACCUUGCGCGAUUGAAUGAGCCGAUGUCGGAUUAGCUAGUUGGCGGGGUAAAGGCCCACCAAGGCGACGAUCCGUAGCUGGUCUGAGAGGAUGAUCAGCCACACUGGAACUGAGACACGGUCCUGACUCCUACGGGAGGCAGCAGUGGGGAAUAUUGGACAAUGGGCGCAAGCCUGAUCCAGCUAUACCGCGUGGGUGAAGAAGGCCUUCGGGUUGUAAAGCCCUUUUGUUGGGAAAGAAAAGCAGCAGGUUAAUACCCCGCUGUUCUGACGGUACCCAAAGAAUAAGCACCGGCUAACUUCGUG
rnacentral:rRNA from 1 species